AGAGUUUGAUCCUGGCUCAGGACGACGCUGGCGGCGUCCUAAUUACAUGCAAGUAGAACGCUGAAGACUUUAGCUUGCUAGAGUUGGGAAGAGUUGCGAACGGGUGAGUUACGCGUACGGUAACCUGCCUACUAGCGGGGGAUAACUUUUGGAAACGAUAGCUAAUACCGCAUAACAGUGUUUAACACAUGUUAGAUGCUUGACAGAUGCAAUUGCAUCCCUAGUAGAUGGACCUGCGUUGUAUUAGCUAGUUGGUGGGGUAACGGCCUACCAAGGCGACGAUACAUAGCCGACCUGAGAGGGUGAUCGGCCACACUGGGACUGAGACACGGCCCAGACUCUACGGGAGGCAGCAGUAGGGAAUCUUCGGCAAUGGGGGCAACCCUGACCGAGCAACGCCGCGUGCGUGAAGAAGGUUUUCGGAUCGUAAAGCUCUGUUGUAAGAGAAGAACGUGUGUGAGAGUGGAAAGUUCACACAGUGACGGUAACUUACCAGAAAGGGACGGCUAACUACGUGCCAGCAGCCGCGGUAAU
rnacentral:rRNA from 1 species